GCAGGAUAUCUGGGUUUCAUCUCUGCCCUACUGCCUGACUUUGAACAGGCCCUUAAUAUCUCCGGAGCCUCCAUUUACUCAUCUGCAAAACAGACAUUUAGAUUGCUCAUGACUUUCCACUAUUACAAUAAGGAUGCAACCCAUGGGCUCUGGAGUCGGAUAGGCCCAGGUCAAAUCGUUGCUCUUCCAUUCACCAGCGAUGUGACCAUAGGACUGGAGGCUGGAGAUCCAAGACCAGGGUGCCAGCAUGGUCGGGUUCUGGUGAGAGCCCUCUUCCGGUUGCAGACUGUAGACUUCUCAUUGCAUCCUCUCAUGUGGUAGAAGGCAAGUGAGCCAGCUCUCUGGGGUCUCUUUUAUAAGGGCACUAAUCCCAAUCAUGAGGGCGCCACCCUCAUGGCCUAAUUACUUUGCAAAAGCCCCACAUCUCAAAACCAUCACAUUGGGGAUUAGGGUUUCAAUAUAUGAAUUUGGGGGGACACAAACAUUCAAUCCAUAACACCAACCAGUAGGCCCACUUCUGAAUCACAGGCCCAGUGGGUGGAAGUGAGAGGAUGGCUCAUUGAGAGGUUUCACAGAACACAGAAAGAGCCCCUUUUCUCAUCUCUUUCCAUUCCAGUAAAUAGGACCUCACAAUGCACCUCUUACCCAGAGAGGCACGAUGAUUGUCUAAGAACACAGGCAAGCUGGCCGAGGCUGUCGGAUGGCGACCUGUGCUCUGAGGCUUUCCUGGGCUUCACUACAGGGGGGAAGAGCGACAUCCAGCGACCCUGAGCUCAGGGACCAAGGUGAGUCAUCAGAGUUAGAGAGGGGCUUGAGAUCCAUCCCCUGACGAAGACUCUCCUAGUGCCGAGAGGGGCAGUGUUGUGCAGGGUCACCUGUCAGGGGCUGGGGACAGAGCAGGCUCAGCACCCAGAUCUUCUGUACCCAGACUGGAG
rnacentral:lncRNA from 1 species